rnacentral:rRNA from 1 species
AAUAUUGGACAAUGGGGGCAACCCUGAACCAGCCAAGCCGCGUGUGUGAAGAAGGUCUUCGGAUUGUUAAACACUUUAAGUGGGGAGGAAGGGCUUUAUGUUAAUACCCUGAUGUUUUGACGUUACCAACAUAAUAAGCAGCGGCCUACUCUGUGCCACCAGCCGCGGUAAUACAGAGGGGGCAAGCGUUCAUCGGAAUUACUGGGCGUAAAGCGGGCGUAGGUGGUUGAGUAAGAUGAGUAUGAAAUCCCCGGGCUUAACCUGGGAACUGCUUUCAAAACUGCUGAGCUAGAGUACGGUAGAGGGUAGUGGAAUUUCCUGUGUAGCGGUGAAAUGCGUAGAAAUAGGAAGGAACAACAGUGGCGAAGGCGACUACCUGGACUGAUACUGACACUGAGGUGCGAAAGCGUGGGGAGCAAACAG